CACACGCCUGGAUGGCACUUGGCAUGGGAAGGUGUGGCCCCCUUGACACUCCAGCAGGGAAGCAGGCCCUGGGCUCCCCCCCGAGUGCCACUGCCCACACAGGACACCCCACACCGUGGCGUCCAGCCUCCUCUUGGCUCCGGCAGGGAGCUUUCCAGUUUCCACAGGCAGUUCACGCAGGGGUGACCCCCUGAGUAACCGUCAGAGUUGGGGUCACUCCCCAAGUCCUCCUCAUCCUCAGCCUGCUGUGCAACCAGGGAGAAGGCCAGGAGCCCCGACUCCUACAAAUGAAGCUACAGGCUCAAGAAGGGACCAACUGUGACGGGGAGACAGUCCCCCACUUUUCUGGGCACAAGGCUGGCUCAAGGGAAAACCCUAAAUGGGCAGAGUUCCGUCCUUCCCCUUCCUGAGCCCCAGAGCAGCGGGGCCUCCUGGCCUGUGCUCUCCAAGCUGUCCUGCAGGCUCUCCAGGAGCAACUCGGACAGGGCAAGUCACAGCCACCGAGCAGCCUCCGCCUCCCAGGCAGACCCCCGGGGGCACGUGGAUCCAUCCUGCUCUGCACAGUGAGCCCCGGUCAGUCACCUGCAUGUAACCAAGCCAGCGGGUUGCCCUGGUGGAGUCCAGUCUGUACUAGAAGUGGGGGAGUGUUUAGAAUCCAUUAUCCUGUUAGUUCCCCUUUUCUUUCCUUCCCAUUACGGAAAUCCUGCACAUACACAAACACGGAGAUGAUGACCUGGGGGCCCUGCCACAGCUGUGACCACCUCGUGCCAACCACCAGCCCAUGCUCAGUGUUGUUUCGUCUGUACCUCUAGCCCCAUGCCCCUUCACAUUAAGUUAGUCAAAACAAAACCCUAAAUAUCAUAUUACUGCCCCCCCCAUAUAUAUAUAUGAUGGUAAUGGGUUUAAAUCCC
rnacentral:lncRNA from 1 species